GGGGUGUAGCUCAGUUGGUAGAGCGCCUGCCUUGCAAGCAGGAGGUCACCGGUUCGAACCCGAUCAUCUCC
rnacentral:tRNA from 1 species